rfam:Salmo salar isolate Sally breed double haploid chromosome ssa11, whole genome shotgun sequence.
AUGUAAAAUGUAUGCAAGUCCCUUUGGAUAAAAGUGUCUGCUAAAUGGCAUAUA